CCUACGGGAGGCAGCAGUGGGGAAUCUUAGACAAUGGGCGCAAGCCUGAUCUAGCCAUGCCGCGUGGACGAUGAAGGCCUUAGGGUUGUAAAGUCCUUUCAGAUGGGAAGAUAAUGACGGUACCAUCAGAAGAAGCCCCGGCUAACUCCGUGCCAGCAGCCGCGGUAAUACGGAGGGGGCUAGCGUUGUUCGGAAUUACUGGGCGUAAAGCGCACGUAGGCGGAUUGGUAAGUUAGAGGUGAAAUCCCAGGGCUCAACCCUGGAACUGCCUUUAAUACUGCUAGUCUUGAGUUCGAGAGAGGUGAGUGGAAUUCCGAGUGUAGAGGUGAAAUUCGUAGAUAUUCGGAGGAACACCAGUGGCGAAGGCGGCUCACUGGCUCGAUACUGACGCUGAGGUGCGAAAGCAUGGGGAGCAAACAGGAUUAGAUACCCUGGUAGUCCAUGCCGUAAACGAUGAAUGCCAGACGUCAGCAAGCAUGCUUGUUGGUGUCACACCUAACGGAUUAAGCAUUCCGCCUGGGGAGUACGGUCGCAAGAUUAAAACUCAAAGGAAUGACGGAAUCGUCGACCGCAGNAACNNNCC
rnacentral:rRNA from 1 species